CACACUAUCAUUAACUGAAUCCAUAGGUUAAUGAGGCGAACCGGGGGAACUGAAACAUCUAAGUACCCCGAGGAAAAGAAAUCAACCGAGAUUCCCCCAGUAGCGGCGAGCGAACGGGGAGCAGCCCAGAGCCUGAAUCAGUGUGUGUGUUAGUGGAAGCGUCUGGAAAGGCGCGCGAUACAGGGUGACAGCCCCGUACACAAAAAUGCACAUACUGUGAGCUCGAUGAGUAGGGCGGGACACGUGGUAUCCUGUCUGAAUAUGGGGGGACCAUCCUCCAAGGCUAAAUACUCCUGACUGACCGAUAGUGAACCAGUACCGUGAGGGAAAGGCGAAAAGAACCCCGGCGAGGGGAGUGAAAAAGAACCUGAAACCGUGUACGUACAAGCAGUGGGAGCCUCUUAAUGGGGUGACUGCGUACCUUUUGUAUAAUGGGUCAGCGACUUAUAUUCUGUAGCAAGGUUAACCGAAUAGGGGAGCCGAAGGGAAACCGAGUCUUAACUGGGCGUUAAGUUGCAGGGUAUAGACCCGAAACCCGGUGAUCUAGCCAUGGGCAGGUUGAAGGUUGGGUAACACUAACUGGAGGACCGAACCGACUAAUGUUGAAAAAUUAGCGGAUGACUUGUGGCUGGGGGUGAAAGGCCAAUCAAACCGGGAGAUAGCUGGUUCUCCCCGAAAGCUAUUUAGGUAGCGCCUCGUGAAUUCAUCUCCGGGGGUAGAGCACUGUUUCGGCAAGGGGGUCAUCCCGACUUACCAACCCGAUGCAAACUGCGAAUACCGGAGAAUGUUAUCACGGGAGACACACGGCGGGUGCUAACGUCCGUCGUGAAGAGGGAAACAACCCAGACCGCCAGCUAAGGUCCCAAAGUCAUGGUUAAGUGGGAAACGAUGUGGGAAGGCCCAGACAGCCAGGAUGUUGGCUUAGAAGCAGCCAUCAUUUAAAGAAAGCGUAAUAGCUCACUGGUCGAGUCGGCCUGCGCGGAAGAUGUAACGGGGCUAAACCAUGCACCGAAGCUGCGGCAGCGACACUAUGUGUUGUUGGGUAGGGGAGCGUUCUGUAAGCCUGUGAAGGUGUACUGUGAGGUAUGCUGGAGGUAUCAGAAGUGCGAAUGCUGACAUAAGUAACGAUAAAGCGGGUGAAAAGCCCGCUCGCCGGAAGACCAAGGGUUCCUGUCCAACGUUAAUCGGGGCAGGGUGAGUCGACCCCUAAGGCGAGGCCGAAAGGCGUAGUCGAUGGGAAACAGGUUAAUAUUCCUGUACUUGGUGUUACUGCGAAGGGGGGACGGAGAAGGCUAUGUUGGCCGGGCGACGGUUGUCCCGGUUUAAGCGUGUAGGCUGGUUUUCCAGGCAAAUCCGGAAAACUAAGGCUGAGGCGUGAUGACGAGGCACUACGGUGCUGAAGCAACAAAUGCCCUGCUUCCAGGAAAAGCCUCUAAGCAUCAGGUAACAUCAAAUCGUACCCCAAACCGACACAGGUGGUCAGGUAGAGAAUACCAAGGCGCUUGAGAGAACUCGGGUGAAGGAACUAGGCAAAAUGGUGCCGUAACUUCGGGAGAAGGCACGCUGAUAUGUAGGUGAAGUCCCUCGCGGAUGGAGCUGAAAUCAGUCGAAGAUACCAGCUGGCUGCAACUGUUUAUUAAAAACACAGCACUGUGCAAACACGAAAGUGGACGUAUACGGUGUGACGCCUGCCCGGUGCCGGAAGGUUAAUUGAUGGGGUUAGCGGUAACGCGAAGCUCUUGAUCGAAGCCCCGGUAAACGGCGGCCGUAACUAUAACGGUCCUAAGGUAGCGAAAUUCCUUGUCGGGUAAGUUCCGACCUGCACGAAUGGCGUAAUGAUGGCCAGGCUGUCUCCACCCGAGACUCAGUGAAAUUGAACUCGCUGUGAAGAUGCAGUGUACCCGCGGCAAGACGGAAAGACCCCGUGAACCUUUACUAUAGCUUGACACUGAACAUUGAGCCUUGAUGUGUAGGAUAGGUGGGAGGCUUUGAAGUGUGGACGCCAGUCUGCAUGGAGCCGGCCUUGAAAUACCACCCUUUAAUGUUUGAUGUUCUAACGUUGGCCCCUGAUCGGGGUUGCGGACAGUGUCUGGUGGGUAGUUUGACUGGGGCGGUCUCCUCCUAAAGAGUAACGGAGGAGCACGAAGGUUGGCUAAUCCUGGUCGGACAUCAGGAGGUUAGUGCAAUGGCAUAAGCCAGCUUGACUGCGAGCGUGACGGCGCGAGCAGGUGCGAAAGCAGGUCAUAGUGAUCCGGUGGUUCUGAAUGGAAGGGCCAUCGCUCAACGGAUAAAAGGUACUCCGGGGAUAACAGGCUGAUACCGCCCAAGAGUUCAUAUCGACGGCGGUGUUUGGCACCUCGAUGUCGGCUCAUCACAUCCUGGGGCUGAAGUAGGUCCCAAGGGUAUGGCUGUUCGCCAUUUAAAGUGGUACGCGAGCUGGGUUUAGAACGUCGUGAGACAGUUCGGUCCCUAUCUGCCGUGGGCGCUGGAGAACUGAGGGGGGCUGCUCCUAGUACGAGAGGACCGGAGUGGACGCAUCACUGGUGUUCGGGUUGUCAUGCCAAUGGCACUGCCCGGUAGCUAAAUGCGGAAGAGAUAAGUGCUGAAAGCAUCUAAGCACGAAACUUGCCCCGAGAUGAGUUCUCCCUGACUCCUUGAGAGUCCUGAAGGAACGUUGAAGACGACGACGUUGAUAGGCCGGGUGUGUAAGCGCAGCGAUGCGUUGAGCUAACCGGUACUAAUGAACCGUGAGGCUUAACCUU
rnacentral:rRNA from 1 species